rnacentral:rRNA from 1 species
AGAAUUUGAUCUUGGUUCAGAUUGAAUGCUGACGGCGUGGAUGAGGCAUGCGAGUCGAACGGGGCUCUGGGUUCGCCCAGAGUUCAGUGGCGAAAGGGUUAGUAAUACAUGGGUAACCUACCUUUAACUCGGGAAUAACGACUGGAAACGGUCGCUAAUACCGGAUGUGGUGUGCACGAGGCAUCUUGAGUGCAUUAAAGCGGGGGAUCGUAAGACCUCGCGGUUAGAGAGGGGCCCAUGGGAUAUCAGCUUGUUGGUGAGGUAAGAGCUCACCAAGGCUAAGACGUCUAGGCGGAUUGAGAGAUUGACCGCCAACAUUGGGACUGAGAACUGCCCAGACUCCUACGGGAGGCUGCAGUCGAGAAUCAUUCGCAAUGGGCGAAAGCCUGACGAUGCGACGCCGUGUGAGCGAUGAAGGCCUUAGGGUCGUAAAGCUCUUUCGCCCGGGAACAAGAGAGGUUGGCUAACAUCCGACCGAUUUGAGAGUACCGGGUAAAGAAGCACCGGCUAACUCCGUGCCAGCAGCUGCGGUAAUACGGAGGGUGCAAGCAUUAAUCGGAUUUAUUGGGCGUAAAGGACGCGUAGGCGGCGAGAUCAGUCUGGUGUGAAAUCCCGGGGCUCAACUCCGGAACUGCACUAGAAACUGUCUCACUAGAGGAUAGGCGGAGAAAACGGAAUUCCACAAGUAGCGGUGAAAUGCGUAGAUAUGUGGAAGAACACCUGUGGCGAAAGCGGUUUUCUAGCUUAUUCCUGACGCUGAGGCGUGAAAGCAAGGGGAGCAAACAGGAUUAGAUACCCUGGUAGUCCUUGCCGUAAACUAUGUAUACUUGGUGUAGCUGGACUCAACCCCGGCUGUGCCGUAGCUAACGCGAUAAGUAUACCGCCUGAGGAGUACGCUCGCAAGGGUGAAACUCAAAAGAAUUGACGGGGACCCGCACAAGCAGUGGAGCAUGUGGUUUAAUUCGAUGCAACGCGAAGAACCUUACCCAGAUUUGACAUGCAGAGGAAGCCGUUAGAAAUAGCGGCGCCCGCGAGGGUCUCUGCACAGGUGCUGCAUGGCUGUCGUCAGCUCGUGCCGUGAGGUGUUGGGUUAAGUCCCGCAACGAGCGCAACCCUUAUCACUAGUUGCCAGCACGUAAUGGUGGGAACUCUAGUGAGACUGCCCGGGUUAACCGGGAGGAAGGUGAGGAUGACGUCAAGUCCGCAUGGCCCUUAUGUCUGGGGCUACACACGUGCUACAAUGGUCGGUACAGAGGGAUGCCAAGCCGCGAGGCGGAGCAAAUCCAUAAAGCCGGCCCCAGUUCAGAUUGCAGUCUGCAACUCGACUGCAUGAAGUUGGAAUUGCUAGUAAUGGCGUGUCAGCUACAGCGCCGUGAAUACGUUCCCGGGUCUUGUACACACCGCCCGUCACAUCACGGGAGUUGGUUUUACCCGAAGUCGCUGGCUCAACCGCAAGGGGAGAGGCGCCUAAGGUAAGGCUGAUGACUGGGAUGAAGUCGGAACAAGGUAGCCCUACCGGAAGGUGGGGCUG